GACGUAGGAGGCGAGCGUUGUCCGGAUUCAUUGGGCGUAAAGAGCACGCAGGCGGUUUGGCAAGUCGGAUGUGAAAACCCGGAGCUCAACUCCGGACCUGCAUCCGAAACUGCCCGACUAGAGGUAGGUAGGGGAGAUCGGAAUUCCUGGUGUAGCGGUGAAAUGCGCAGAUAUCAGGAGGAACACCGGUGGCGAAGGCGGUUCUCUGGGCAUUACCUGACGCUGAGGAGCGAAAGUGUGGGGAGCGAACAGG
rnacentral:rRNA from 1 species